AUUGAACGCUGGCGGCAUGCUUCACACAUGCAAGUCGAACGGUAACAGGUUAAGCUGACGAGUGGCGAAGGGGUGAGUAAUGCAUCGGAACGUGCCCAAUCGUGGGGGAUAACGCAGCGAAAGCUGCGCCAAUACCGCAUACGAUCGUAGGACGAAAGCGGGGGAGCGUAAGGCCUCGCGCGAUCGGAGCGGCCGAUGUCAGAUUAGGUAGUUGGUGGGGUAAAGGAUGACCAAGCCAACGAGCUGUAGCCGGUCUGAGAGGACGACCAGCCACAGUGGGACUGGGACACGGCCCAGACUCGGAGGGGAGGCAGCAGUGGGGAUUUUUGGAGAAGGAGCGGAAGCGUGAUCCAGCAAUGCGGGGUGCAGGAAGAAGGCCUUCGCAUUGUAAACUGCUUUUGUACGGGGCGAGAAGGCUCUCUCUAAUACAGGGGGCUCAUGACGGUACCGUAAGAAUAAGCACCGGCUAACUACGUGCCAGCCGCCGCAGUAA
rnacentral:rRNA from 1 species